UACGGAAGGCAGCAGUGGGGAAUAUUGCACAAUGGGCGAAAGCCUGAUGCAGCUAUGCCGCGUGUAUGAAGAAGGCCUUAGGGUUGUAAAGUACUUUCAUCGGGGAGGAAAAAACAAAACUAAUAAUUUUAUUUCUUGACGUUACCCGAAAAAGAAGCACCGGCUAACUCCGUGCCAGCAGCCGCGGUAAUACGGGGGUGCUAGCGUUAAUCAGAAUUACUGGGCGUAAAGAGCACGUAGGUGGUUUUUUUAAAGUCAGAUGUGAAAUCCCUGGGCUUAACCUAGGAACUGCAUUUUGAAACUGAAAUACUAGAGUAUCGUAGAGGGAGGUAGAAUUCUAGGUGUAGCGGUGAAAUGCGUAGAUAUCUGGAGGAAUACCUGUGGCGAAAGCGGCCUCCUAAACGAAUACUGACACUGAGGUGCGAAAGCGCGGGGAGCAAACGAGGGAUUAGAUACC
rnacentral:rRNA from 1 species